rnacentral:rRNA from 1 species
UACAGAGGUCCCGAGCGUUGUUCGGAUUCACUGGGCGUAAAGGGUGCGUAGGUGGUGAGGUAAGUCGGAUGUGAAAUCUCCGGGCUUAACCCGGAAACUGCAUUGGAAACUACCUUGCUUGAGGGUUUGAGGGGGGACUGGAAUUCUCGGUGUAGCAGUGAAAUGCGUAGAUAUCGAGAGGAACACCGGUGGCGAAGGCGAGUCCCUGGAAAACACCUGACACUGAGGCACGAAAGCUAGGGGAGCAAACAGG